AUGCGCCGUCUCGUCGUCCUGCUCCUUACUGUCUUGCUCCCCCAUGAAAACAGCUGCUCCGCCGCCGCAGCUUCCGGCGGCGGUAUCCAGUGCAGCCGCCGGUGCGGCAGCACCACCGUCCCUUACCCUUUUGGCUUCUCCCCCGGCUGCCCCAUCCCGCUGUCCUGCGACGCCAGCAUAUCCACGCCGAUCCUCGGUCGCAGCGGCACGACCAUCCACUCUUUCAACUCCACCACCUCGACCAUCGUCGUCUCCCUCCCGCCAUCGUGCACUCGCAGCGUCCCCGACGCCAAGAAGGCGCUCUCCGGCGCCAACUACGGCGUCUCGUCCCACACCGGUCUGUUCCUCCGCGGCGGCUGCCGCGAGAUCAACGCGUCGGGCGCCGAAUGCAGCGUGCCCGCGAGCGUCAUGUCCAGGCUUCUCCGCACAGCGCAGUGUGUCGGCAACGACACCUCCGUGACGUGCUUUGCCUCUUCUCCGAUGAACAGCACGGCGGUGGCGGCGCCCGCGCCCGCGCCGGCACCGGCCUUGAAGUCCGCUUAUCCCAACCAGUUCUUGAGCUGGGAGAAAGUGGAGGCCUUUCGGUGCGGCGACGCGCUGACGGCGGCGCUGUAUGGGGACACGGACACGGUACUGUCGCUGGAGUUCGGCGUGGCGGAGCUGGGCUGGUGGGUCAAUGGGACGUGCGCCGGCAGCGGCGAGCUUUGCGCGGCGAACGCGACUUGCACCGACGUAGACACGCCGAGCGGGAAGAAAGGACACCGGUGCGCAUGCCAGGCGGGGAUGAACGGCGAUGGCUUCUUGGCCGGCGACGGAUGCCACUACCUAGCUAAGCGGGGUUUCAAGAAGAACGUGGCUUUCAUCGCUGCAGGUGUGGUGGUGGGCGUGGCGGCGGCGGCCGGCGUGCUCCUGCUGCUAUGCUGGGCACGACGCCGGCGCUCUGUCGGCAAGGGGCGGCAGGGCUCAAGCCGGCUCGCGGCGAUGCGGCUGCUGUCGGAGGCGGCGACGUCGAGCGGCGUGCCGGUGUACUCGUACAACGAGGUGGCGCGCGCGACCAACUCCUUCUCCGACACGCACCGCCUCGGCACGGGCGCCUACGGCACGGUCUACGUCGGCCGGCUCCCGGCGAACUCGACGGCGCUCGUGGCCAUCAAGCGCCUCCGGUGCCGCCUCGACGACCACGACGACGGCGGCGGCAGGGCGGUGGCGCUGCUCCUCAACGAGAUCAGGCUCAUCUCCUCGCUCAGCCACCCCAACCUGGUCCGCCUCCUCGGCUGCUGCCUCGACCGCGGCGAGCAGAUCCUCGUCUACGAGCUCGUGCCCAACGGCACCCUCUCCCACCACCUCCACGGCAACGGCGACGGCGACUCCACGCUGCCGUGGCGCGCGCGGCUCGGCGUCGCGGCGGGCACGGCGGCCGCCAUCGCGUACCUGCACGCCGCGCGCCCGCCCAUCUUCCACCGCGACGUCAAGUCCGGCAACAUCCUCCUCGGCGCUGACCUCCGCGCCAAGCUCGCCGACUUCGGCCUCUCCCGCGCCGCCCGGGGCGCCGAGGACGCGUCGCGCUCGCACGUCUCCACCGCGCCGCAGGGCACGCCGGGGUACGUCGACCCGGAGUACCACCAGAGCUUCCACCUCUCCGACAAGAGCGACGUCUACAGCUUCGGCGUCGUGCUGCUCGAGCUCAUCACCGCCAUGAAGGUCGUCGACUUCGCCCGGCCGGCCAACGAGGUCAACCUGGCAUGCCUCGCGCUCGACCGGAUCGGCAAGGGGAGAGUCGAGGAGAUCGUCGACCCGGCGCUCCUCCGCCACGGCGAGGAGUGGGUCAUGGAGUCGGUCCGGCACGUCAGCGAGCUCGCCUUCCAGUGCCUGGCGUUCGACAAGGACGUCCGGCCGUCCAUGAGCGAGGUGGCCGCCGAGCUGUGCCGGAUCAGGGACGCCGCCCCAGACUCCGGCAUGACGGACCUCGUCGCCGACGUGGGACUCAAUGGACCAGACACCACCACGGCAAAGAAAGCCCGGUCGCCGGUGUCGGUGCAGGAGGUUUGGGUCAGCGACCGGAGCUCGCAAUCGACCAACGGCUCCAUGCCACGCUUUCCAUAG
rnacentral:rRNA from 1 species